AUUGAACGCUGGCGGCAUGCCUUACACAUGCAAGUCGAACGGCAGCACGGGUGCUUGCACCUGGUGGCGAGUGGCGAACGGGUGAGUAAUACAUCGGAACGUACCUUAUCGUGGGGGAUAACGCAGCGAAAGUUGCGCUAAUACCGCAUACGCCCUGAGGGGGAAAGCGGGGGACCGUAAGGCCUCGCGCGAUUAGGGCGGCCGAUGUCUGAUUAGCUUGUUGGUGAGGUAAAAGCUCACCAAGGCGAUGAUCAGUAGCUGGUCUGAGAGGACGAUCAGCCACACUGGGACUGAGACACAGCCCAGACUCCUACGGGAGGCAGCAGUGGGGAAUUUUGGACAAUGGGGGCAACCCUGAUCCAGCAAUGCCGCGUGAGUGAAGAAGGCCUUCGGGUUGUAAAGCUCUUUUGUCAGGGAAGAAACAGCAGCUCUAACACAGUCUGCGAAUGACGGUACCUGAAGAAUAAGCACCGGCUAACUACGUGCCAGCAGCCGCGGUAA
rnacentral:rRNA from 1 species